rnacentral:miRNA from 1 species
AACUUUUGGUAAGAAGAUGUUAACAAAAGUUGUUCGUCUUUAUGAGGGCUACAACUUUGCUUAAUAUCCUUUUAACAAAUUAUGCGUAUUUAAGGAGAUAGCGCAGCGCAUGCGCAGAACGUAUCUCCUUACCUUUGCACUUUUUGGUAAGAAGAUGUUAACAAAAGGUUUUCGUCAUGAUGAGGGCUACAACUUUGCUUAAUAUCCUUUUAACAAAUUAU